GCCAGUGUUGAGUAGUGGUUUGCAUGUUGAACUACAACUCUGGAGACCCGGGUUCGAUUCCCUACUUGGCCA